AGUUGAAUUGAGUUGAGUAUAUAAAACCUUGUUGUUAAGACAUAGAAAACAGACAUUCUUCAAUUUAACCUAAAAAUGUUAUAUAUGCUCAAACAAUCAAAGCAUCUUAACAAACAAGGAUGCUCUUGCUUUGACACUGCACUUCAAACUCCUCAAAUUAGAAACUAUAUUAAAAUCAAUGAGAAACUAACAAUGUUAACCAAAUAGAACUACUUAGCUAGGUUCUAUCCUUAUUCCAUAAACUAUGGAUGCUAAUUCCACCAAUCAUGUCCUAUAAGUUCGAGAUACAAAUAGAAGACCGAUGAACUAACCCUGCAGGGCCCAGAAUCUGGUUCAAGAAAGCUACAAAAACUAUAUGAAACAAUGACUCCCAACUAGAAGUUACAUUGGAAAUCAGAACUAUUCUCCUUCAAACAAAAAUGAAAAACUACUAUUUAUUGCCAGUACUUGUCUAUCGAUUAUGUUAUCUUACCUUAGACAUUGAAGUAAGCUCUCUGCAACAGAAGCCUCUUGAAUAGCCUCUAUUGCUGCUGUCUGUGCAGCAUCUCUAUGCUUCGUAACUUCCUUUCCGAGCUUAGCAACAGAAGAAGGGAGUGAACUCCAUGAAAAGCUUCCCUCAGUUAGUUUCCUGCUAUUUAUUGAAACCUUAACCAAGUUUCCUGGAAGUCCAUUAUUAUUUCCUGAUGAUUUCUUUCCAAUUGAUGCUCUUAGUUUAUUUGACUUUUCUUGAUCAUCCAAAUUUCCAUUUGCAGUAACUUUCUUUGUAGAUUUCGGAUUUCUGUUCUCCUCUUUAGAUGAUUUGGCUGAUAGUUGGGUCUUAUUAUCCUCUUUAGAUGCCAACCUAUCAGUUGACAUGCUUUUUCUAGGAGCUGAAAUACUCCGAGCUUCAGGCUUCAGAUCGUAUUUGGCAGCCCUUAAUUUUGAAUUCUCCCGGUGUUUCACCUCCAUAUUCCCUUCCCAACUCUUCCUUAAAGCUUUGGCCCCAAGCUCAAUUCCCUGAACUAUAUUCUUAAUAACUGGUACCCUCUUUGCAUUUGGACUUGCCCCACGAACAGAACUCAACUUUUCCACUACUCUUGACUCAGUUGAUCCCUUCUCCGACCCCUUAAUCUUCGUUUGCUGC
rnacentral:misc_RNA from 1 species